ensembl:lncRNA
CCGCACGGCACCGCCGACGGAACGGCACCGGGACGGAACCGCGGCACGACGGGAGCGGUGGGUCGUGUGGUGUUGUGGGGAAGCACUGCAGAUGGAAAGCUGCUGUGUGGAGCCCCACAGGAUGAGUUGCAGAGGCCCCUGAAGGAAAAGGAGAAGGAAGGGCAUUUGCAGAGGGAAAGGCUGUCCCGCUGGCCUUAGGUGUUGCUGAACGGGAGGGGUGGCCAAUGCUUUCUCUUUCCGCUGACUCACGGAUGGUGGCAAAUGCCUUCUGGGGGUGGUUCCAGCAGUGGGAAGAAAACAACUGGCAGCGGAGGGGUGAACCUCUUUGGGCUGCUGAGCUGUGUGCUGAACCAUAAGGAAGGUGGCUGUAAAG